rnacentral:rRNA from 1 species
AUUGAACGCUGGCGGCAGGCCUAACACAUGCAAGUCGAGCGGAUGAAGGGAGCUUGCUCCUGGAUUCAGCGGCGGACGGGUGAGUAAUGCCUAGGAAUCUGCCUGGUAGUGGGGGAUAACGUCCGGAAACGGGCGCUAAUACCGCAUACGUCCUGAUGGAGAAAGUGGGGGAUCUUCGGACCUCACGCUAUCAGAUGAGCCUAGGUCGGAUUAGCUAGUUGGUGGGGUAAAGGCCUACCAAGGCGACGAUCCGUAACUGGUCUGAGAGGAUGAUCAGUCACACUGGAACUGAGACACGGUCCAGACUCCUACGGGAGGCAGCAGUGGGGAAUAUUGGACAAUGGGCGAAAGCAUGAUCCAGCUAUGCCGCGUGUGUGAAGAAGGUCUUCGGAUUGUAAAGCACUUUAAGUUGGGAGGAAGGGAAGUAAGUUAAUACCUUGCUGUUUUGACGUUACCAACAGAAUAAGCACCGGCUAACUUCGUG